CCUACGGGAGGCAGCAGUGGGGAAUUUUGGACAAUGGACGCAAGUCUGAUCCAGCCAUGCCGCGUGCGGGAAGAAGGCCUUCGGGUUGUAAACCGCUUUUGUCAGGGAAGAAACGGCUCUGGUUAAUACCUGGGGCUAAUGACGGUACCUGAAGAAUAAGCACCGGCUAACUACGUGCCAGCAGCCGCGGUAAUACGUAGGGUGCAAGCGUUAAUCGGAAUUACUGGGCGUAAAGCGUGCGCAGGCGGUUAUGCAAGACAGAUGUGAAAUCCCCGGGCUCAACCUGGGAACUGCAUUUGUGACUGCAUAGCUAGAGUACGGUAGAGGGGGAUGGAAUUCCGCGUGUAGCAGUGAAAUGCGUAGAUAUGCGGAGGAACACCGAUGGCGAAGGCAAUCCCCUGGACCUGUACUGACGCUCAUGCACGAAAGCGUGGGGAGCAAACAGGAUUAGAUACCCUGGUAGUCCACGCCCUAAACGAUGUCAACUGGUUGUUGGGAGGGUUUCUUCUCAGUAACGAAGCUAACGCGUGAAGUUGACCGCCUGGGGAGUCGGCCGCAAGGUUGAAACUUAAAGGAAUUGACGGNGUUGAGAGNGCGAGGACGACGACGAGGAGGAGG
rnacentral:rRNA from 1 species